GUGUGCUCUUCCGAGUGGGGGGUGGGGAGGAAGAGUCUGGGGCGGCAGGUUCUGCAGUGUAUUGUGGGCCUGUAGUGCCCGUGUAGAAGGAAGGGACACUUCCUCCCUUUCCUCAGAAGAAAGACUCUUGAGGGAAUUAAGAGGGUGGGAGAUAGAGAAGAUUCAAGGAGGUAACCAGUGGCUACUGGAGGCACUCGCAUCCCAGGCUUUAGUCUUCUCCUGAAUGUAGAAUUGAGGUAAAGUCCUUGGGGGGAACUUUUACCUCACCCAAAUUGGUAAAGAAUCUGAAAACCUUGUAACACACAGAAACAGUGAAGGAAUUCCAGUAUCGAAUCUAAGUUGUCAUAAGUGUGGCGAAGGAGUUAGAGUUUCAGAAAGACAGAUCUUACGUCAGGUGGGAUAAGUUGCUCUGUAGUCAGUGAGCUUUCCCUUUCUGGAUCAGAGAAUAAAAUGGCAUCCUUCUGAGGGUAUCGUGUAUGUGUUUGGAGAAAAGGGAUUCCUGCAUAAAAGUCUCUUCUAGCUCCGCUUCUUAACUUCCGCUUCACUUAAAGUUAAGGCUUUAAGUAUUCACUUCUGGACAAGUAUCAAGAAAGUCCUGCAAACACUGAAAUUUGAUCACGAGCUCCCAUCUAGUCUCGCCAUUUAUGAUGCUAUGUAGAGAAUUCCUCCCACCCAUAUGAGUUAACCAUGUUGGCCAUCUUCCCACAAGGAGACAGUUUCACCCCGUUGAUAGGAUCUGAGUUAAGCAGCAUUCACUGAGGGUAGCCUUCAGUCUGUCUCACCCUCUCUCCUUCUCAAGCUGCCUUGUGGGCAAAGCAAGACCUUUCCCAUUCUUCCAGAGUAUUCAAAUUCUGUCCUAUAAAUGACCGAGUGUUGACCUCUACUCAUGAGCUUGGGUGUAAAUUCAGUCCUCUGAUACUCUAAAAAAAAAAA